rnacentral:snoRNA from 11 species
AAACUUGGUAAAGAGGUAGUCCAAUAUAAAGUUCAUUGCAGCAGUCCAACCUUGAGGUUACUAGUGCAUGCACUACCAUCUUUAGGUAC